GCAUCUCAAAACUCUUUGGGAAAGGAUAUUUGUUGGAUGUUUACGUUAUGGUCUGUUUUAUUCCAUCUCUGUCCAAUCUAUAUGCCAUGGUGACACAGGUCAGUGAAAACACUGCAAGGAAAGAGCCAUCUGAGAAAUCUGGAGUGGACAGAAAGCUUGUGACAACUGUCAAACUGUCAGGAUUACAAAAGACCGUGGUCCCAUUGCAUGACAGAGGUCAGAAUUUACUGACGCUGGCUGUACGUGCUACGGAGAACAAAGUACUAAGGGUGCCCAUGGAGAAACCAAGACAGAGACCAAAACUUCCAUAUCAGGGGAAUCCUACAACACACUGGAUGGAGGCAUCAGCACAACCUUGUAGUCUCUUCUGCUUCUCCUUGUAUGCUAUGAGAGUUUCUUUAUAGGACAUUCAGAUCCGGAUGAACCAGUAUUUCUAACAGCUUGAAAGAAAGUAUUGCCCAGUUUAUUUGUUUGGAUUUUCAAAUUCUGGUGACAUGUACUGCAGUUUAUGGAUUUUAUGAUGUCCAAGAUAGCAUUGUCUUCAUCCAGGAGGUAAGUGACGAUGUCUAAUUAAUGAUAAAUGUUUUAAACACAUACUCACUGUAGUUACUAUAGACUUCAAGUUGAACUCAGCAAUUUAUCUUUCUUCCUGGCUCAUUAAACACUGUUUUGAGCUCCACUAUCAUACAGCUAAUGAUCAUGUCUUUAGUAGUCUUUGCAAAUCAGUCACCUCUGUCUUCAAAUUAGUUCUGAAAAAGACAGGGAAGUCUAAAAAUUUGCAGUCCUGCAGUCAGACUGCAGCUGUUUUUCAGACUCUAUUUCAUUGAAAUGCUGAGGUUUUCUCCCAGGGGUUGAUGAGCUUUCUCAGUAAAAGUUUCUCUCCUCUUGCUGGUCUGCAUGUGCAGGGUCCAAGAUUUAGUCUCAACUAUGUUGUCUGCUUUUAUUUAUAAUUUUUAUGGCUGGAUUAUCGGUAUUGACUGCUUCUCCUCAAAGGAGGAUUUCCCAUCAUAGAGGAGUCCCUGGUGGCACUGUAUAUAGAUAUUACUAAUGCAUCCAUCAGCAAAUUAUCUAGGCACCAAUUACAAAAUGGAGUCUCAGGUAGUGUGAAUAAUUGCUUUUUUUCAGUGUAAUAGAUGAAUUAAGAAGUUGGAGAAGAGUCUUGUUAUAUAUGGAGUGGUAAUUCGUGUUGAAAAAAUGGUUGAUAUUAAUAAAGAAGGGGGAGAUUUGGGAGUGUGGCCAUGGGGGUCGGAAAGCCCUGUGGUUGAUGAUAAGAUUAGACUCUUAACGAUGAGGCCAUCAGGAAUGUAAAAGAGUUUAGAGGGAAUAAAGAAGGGUGAUUCAGGAGACUCCAUGCAGUAUUGGGUUGCUUGUUCUCCAGCCAUUAAGGCAUGGAAGUUUCUGGGUUUUUGCCGUUGCUGUUAUUUGCAAAGUUGUUUGACCAAUAAAAAGGUUUUUUUUUUUUUUUUUUGGUGUGUUUUUUAAGAACUGCUGUGGGGAGAAGGGUGUNNNNNNNNNNGAAAAGGGGGGCCCGUCCCCAAAAAAAAAAAAAAAAAAAAAAAAAAAAGGCAACAUGAUAUAAUGAAGUUAUGUCAUCAAUAAAGAAACAAAAAGAAGGAAUGAAAAGGAACAGGCUAGCAGAACAGAGACCAGGAUGGGAACAUGCACACUGAUUGCCUCAUGAAGAUAGAUUCGGCCAGACUCAGCAGACUGCUCAAAGAAGCUCGUAGAGAAAGUCGCUGGAAAUAGGUGCACUGGAGCUGGGAAGAAGCUCAAGCUGAGAGAAGCAGACCUGUGCAUACAACUGCCUCUCGCUGGUAAGCAGUUGCGCAUUAUGGGGAAUCAUACGUCCUUAGAAACAAAGACUGUCCUGGUAGCCUUACAGCUUAUUCUCCUUAUUAACAAUUGGACAGUUUAUGAUCCUGAAAUACAGGACCAAAUUGAGGUCAAGGUGUGGGACUCUGCAACUAAAAGUGACAAGGUUGCGGCGGGAUUGCUCAGCACCUGGUGAGCAAUCUCUGAGGCCUUAAAGAGCCAUGUGGGGCCACAAUCAGAAACGUGGUUUGCCAGACAGCGAGGGAACUGCGGGCUCCUUUACUGAUCUGACUGCUACGCCAUGGGCCCCUCCGCUACUGCCAUCGAAGGUUUUUGCUGUUAUGCCCCCUGGUGACUUGGAUGUGCCUUUUGACCCAGGCCUUAUUGGCCUUGAAAUGGAGAUGGGUAUGUUUUUCUUCUAUCUGGGAAGAACGGGAUACAUAAAGCCCGAAGGCUGAGUUGCUUGACAACUUAAAGCAAGACGUAUUGUUCAAAAGGAAUAGAAAAUGGAGACUUGUUUGUAAUCAAGAAAAGGAAUGGAAAGGAUUGUUUGUUACCUUUUCUGAUUGUACAUAUGUAUAGGCAUACUCGAGUUCAGUAAGUCAUGGAGACUUGUUUGUAAUCAAGAAAAGGAAUGGAAAGGAUUGUUUGUUACCUUUUCUGAUUGUACGUUUGUAUAGGCAUACUCGGGUUUAGUAUGUAAAAGCAAUGUUCUAUAUAUAUUUAGAAAGUUUAAUGUUCGUGUGUGCGUGUUGGUGAAGCGUAGACUCCCCGCACACCCAGCGCUGUUUACUUGCCUUUUGUUUCUUUUAUAAAUAUUCCUUUUAUAAAUAUUACUAAAUUCAGAUUGAGUUGAGACUUCAUUUAUAAGUCUUAAUUUAAGGUCAUUAGAAGUAACAGUGUGUUUUGUUCUCAGACAAUGCAAAAAGAACACUCACCUAUGUGUGGCACUGUAGUUCAAACUCAAAGCCUGCUUGAGUAGUAGGAAUGCUUCUUCCAUCUGCCAGGAGAGAACUCUAUUUACAGCAUUUUCAAGCUAUCAUAACAGAGGUCAACCUUACCAAUUGCAAUUUUCUGUAUGGUUGUGACUCUCAUGUGAAAAAUAAAAAUCUCUCUGGAACUAUUUUGGAAAUUAAAUCUACAUUUUUAAUAGCUUUAGUAUGGCUCCUGCUGUGUCUUUCAGCAAACAUUUGCUGAGACUCUGUAUGAGAUUUGCCUUACUUUGCAUUUAAAAAACACUGCUCUUCACUUCUUGGGAGGUCAAGUGUCUGUAUUGAAUGAUCUAUACCUUUGAAAGUUCUUUCAGUUUUCUUUAUUACUGAUUGAAUGGCUUGACAAAAAGUUCGAGUUCAGCAUUGUGAUCUGAAAUUGAUUGUGAACAGACGCAUUCUAAUCAAACUUGGGCACAAAGUAAGAUAAUAUAGGGCUCUCUGCCAAGAACAGUCUGAUCUCAGCUCCUGAGAUCUUCAUACUGGAGCACAGCAGCCAGCAGCCCUUAGCUGUCCACAGAGAACAGUUGUUUUGCUAAGGUAAGAAUGGAGAAAAGUUUGUUGUUGGUGGUUUGUUUGUGGUGGACCUGGAUGGGGUAGGCUCCCAGGAGGUUUGGGUUGCCUUGUCCUGCACAGGUGGAAUUAGUGAAUGCCUUCCCACUUCACUAUCAUUAAGAAAGAAAGGCAAUAACACAAACACAGAACACAGUAGCUAAAUCAUCAUUGGAAAUAAAUAGUCACAGUAAAUCAAGC
rnacentral:lncRNA from 1 species